UCUGCACUCGCUUUGAACUUUCAUGGCUUUAACAGCAGUUAUCGACUGACGACUUUGCUGUAUUACAUAGUGUACUUGGUACAUAAUUGAUCAACGAUAAUAGGAGGAACCCCUGCAAGCUUUAAAGGGCUCGUGUUACUUUAACAUCACUUUUGAAUUUCACGAAAGCAGAUAAAAGUUUUAGUGACGUUGCAGAAACUCCGGAAUACUGUGGAUUGGGAGGAGGAGAAAGUGAUAAUUCUGUUAUAUGGCCUGUUUCUAGGACACGAUAAACUUCCUAAUAAGUUAACAACUCUACCUCGAUUCGAUGCAGUGCACAGUGGGAAAGGUUGAAGUUGACGUUCAAGCAGUCACCCUGCCGAACAAGAAAUCUUUCAGGCCAAGAGGCUAGGUGACUAGAAACUCAAUCACUAUAUCCGUGAAACUUGUCGGGAGCACUGUUAUUUGUGGAGGUCGGACCGAAACUGUAAUCAGACACUAAACAUUGACGAGGACCAAUUACUCUACUCUUUCAAUGAUUAAUAAAGAUCGCUGAUUGCUUUUACUAAUGUAUAAUGUUAAAAUGAAAGAGAAACUAUCGAGACGAAAGAGAAAAAGGCACUCAUUUAUUUAUAGUUUUAUGUCUUAACAAUGAUAUUCGAAAGCUAAUUUUAAAAACUGGCUCUGAAUCCUUGCUAAAUGAUUUGGGAAGGUG